UUCUUAGCCCUUACCCGUUUGCCACUUACCACCCGGUUUCUCUAUCUCUGUCUCUCUCGAUCCCGGCGAAAUCAAAGUGUAGAAUAUCAGGCAACCGGCAGCUCAUUUCCACUGUUUUAGCUGAUGGGAUUUGGGAAUAGAGGAAUCGUUGCUGACAAAUGGUCAGGAAGGCUUUUAUGGGUCUGUGCAAUUGGAAGUGCUGUUGGCUUCUAUAUGGUUGCUGUGGAAAGACAAACUCAGAAUAGAGCAAAAAUGAUGGCUGAAGCACUGGCGGAUGCAGGAUCAAGUAUAGAUGCCAGUGAGAAAAGCUGAAUAUCAUGGGACUUAUGCAGGCAUUGAAGAUGAUGUUGAUAUUAGAAGACUUGGGGAAGUUGCGGAAGAAAUAGAGGCACAGGGUCGAAGGAGAGGAGUACCAAUACGACUUGAAGUGUUAAUGAAUGAUGAUCCUCUGUGACAGUUGUUGGUGGCUGUAACUGAAUUUCUGUACCUGCACCAUGCACUGUUCGAGGGCUAUCAACCAACUGGUCAUGAUCAUAUUCCUCGAGUGACAUUACGGUGCUUGUAUCAGUGUGCACAGUUGAAUCAUCUGGGAACGAACGUACGCAUCCUCCUUUUUCUUCUUGCUGCCUUUCCCCAUCCAUGGAUCGUUUCUCUUAUUCUCUGUGGAAUCAAUGCAGCCUUAUAGUUUGUACCCAUCUGCAAAGAGGCAAUAUAAUAUGUUCAAAGCUUUGUUGUCGGAAAAUAUUACUAAUAUCUACAAUCUCAUUCAAUAGUCCGAUUCACGAGUUUACUGUGGAAGUGCAACAUGUUGAAGUAGUCUAUG